rnacentral:rRNA from 1 species
UGGGGAAUAUUGCACAAUGGGCGCAAGCCUGAUGCAGCCAUGCCGCGUGUAUGAAGAAGGCCUUCGGGUUGUAAAGUACUUUCAGCGAGGAGGAAGGCGUUGUGGUUAAUAACCGCAACGAUUGACGUUACUCGCAGAAGAAGCACCGGCUAACUCCGUGCCAGCAGCCGCGGUAAUACGGAGGGUGCAAGCGUUACUCGGAAUUACUGGGCGUAAAGCGCACGCAGGCGGUCUGUCAAGUCGGAUGUGAAAUCCCCGGGCUCAACCUGGGAACUGCAUCCGAAACUGGCAGGCUAGAGUCUUGUAGAGGGGGGUAGAAUUCCAGGUGUAGCGGUGAAAUGCGUAGAGAUCUGGAGGAAUACCGGUGGCGAAGGCGGCCCCCUGGACAAAGACUGACGCUCAGGUGCGAAAGCGUGGGGAGCAAACA